rnacentral:rRNA from 1 species
CUACGGGUCGCAGCAGUGGGGAAUAUUGGGCAAUGGGCGCAAGCCUGACCCAGCAACGCCGCGUGAGGGAAGAAGGUUUUCGGAUUGUAAACCUCUGUCCUUGGGGACGAAGAAGUGACGGUACCCAAGGAGGAAGCUCCGGCUAACUACGUGCCAGCAGCGCGCGGUAAUACGUAGGGAGCAAGCGUUGUCCGGAAUUACUGGGCGUAAAGGGUGCGUAGGCGGCAUAUUAAGUCAGGUGUGAAAUACUCGGGCUCAACCCGGGGGCUGCAUUUGAAACUGAUAUGCUUGAGUGUGAGAGAGGAAAGUGGAAUUCCUAGUGUAGCGGCGGAAUGCGUAGAUAUUAGGAGGAACACCAGUGGCGAAGGCGACUUUCUGGCUCAUAACUGACGCUGAGGCACGAAAGCGUGGGGAGCAAACAGGAUUAGAUACCCUGGUAGUC